CCUACGGGUGGCAGCAGUGAGGAAUAUUGGUCAAUGGGCGCGAGCCUGAACCAGCCAAGUCGCGUGAGGGAAGACGGUCCUAUGGAUUGUAAACCUCUUUUGUCGGGGAGCAAAAGACGCCACGCGUGGCGUUCCGCGAGUACCCGAAGAAAAAGCAUCGGCUAACUCCGUGCCAGCAGCCGCGGUAAUACGGAGGAUGCGAGCGUUAUCCGGAUUUAUUGGGUUUAAAGGGAGCGUAGGUGGAUUGUUAAGUCAGUUGUGAAAGUUUGCGGCUCAACCGUAAAAUUGCAGUUGAAACUGGCAGUCUUGAGUACAGUAGAGGUGGGCGGAAUUCGUGGUGUAGCGGUGAAAUGCUUAGAUAUCACGAAGAACUCCGAUUGCGAAGGCAGCUCACUGGACUGCAACUGACACUGAUGCUCGAAAGUGUGGGUAUCAAACAGGAUUAGAUACCCUGGUAGUC
rnacentral:rRNA from 1 species